rnacentral:rRNA from 1 species
AGCGAACGCUGGCGGCAGGCCUAACACAUGCAAGUCGAACGAACCUUUCGGGGUUAGUGGCGGACGGGUGAGUAACACGUGGGAACGUGCCUUUAGGUUCGGAAUAACUCAGGGAAACGUGUGCUAAUACCGAAUGUGCCCUUCGGGGGAAAGAUUUAUCGCCUUUAGAGCGGCCCGCGUCUGAUUAGCUAGUUGGUUGAGGUAAUGGCUCACCAAGGCGACGAUCAGUAGCUGGUCUGAGAGGAUGAUCAGCCACAUUGGGACUGAGACACGGCCCAAACUCCUCCGGGAGGCAGCAGUGGGGAAUCUUGCGCAAUGGGCGAAAGCCUGACGCAGCCAUGCCGCGUGAAUGAUGAAGGUCUUAGGAUUGUAAAAUUCUUUCACCGGGGACGAUAAUGACGGUACCCGGAGAAGAAGCCCCGGCUAACUUCGUG